rnacentral:rRNA from 1 species
UUAGCUUGCUAACAGGCGUCGAGUGGCGGACGGGUGAGUAACGCGUAGGAAUCUACCAAAUAGCGGGGGAUAGCCCGGAGAGAUCCGGAUUAAUACCGCAUAAUCUCUACGGAGUAAAGGGGGGCCUCUAUUUAUAAGCUUUCACUAUUUGAUGAGCCUGCGCAAGAUUAGCUUGUUGGUGAGGUAAAAGCUCACUAAGGCGACGAUCUUUAGCUGGUCUGAGAGGAUGAUCAGCCACACUGGGACUGAGACACGGCCUAGACUCC